ensembl:lincRNA predicted gene, 44174
GUCCACAGAUUCAUCAGAGCAAGAGGAUGCUGUCCGGGAUGGUUCCCUCCACAAGCUCCAGUCAGAGAUGACUCCAUUCAGCCACUCUUGCAGAAGAACAAUUCCUAAGGGUCCCUUCCAACUGUUUUCUCUUCCCCAAAU